rnacentral:misc_RNA from 1 species
UGGCUCUCGCAUCGAUGAAGAACGCAGCGAAAUGCGAUAAGUAAUGUGAAUUGCAGAAUUCAGUGAAUCAUCGAAUCUUUGAACGCACCUUGCGCUCCUUGGUAUUCCGAGGAGCAUGCCUGUUUGAGUGUCGUGAAAUUCUCAACUUUUGAAACUUUUUUGUUUGAAAAGCUUGGACUUGGAGGUCGUGUCGGCGCUCGCGUUGACUCCUCUCAAAUGCAUUAGCGUGAAUCUUAUGGAUCGCCUUCGGUGUGAUAAUUACUGCGCCGUCGUCGUGAAGUAUAACAGCGUUCGUGCUCACAAUCGUCUCGAUCAUGAGACACAAUUCAUUAUGACAAUCUGGCCUCAAAUCAGGUAGGACUACCCGCUGA